AGUGAACGCUGGCGGUAGGCCUAACACAUGCAAGUCGAACGGCAGCACAGUAAGAGCUUGCUCUUACGGGUGGCGAGUGGCGGACGGGUGAGGAAUACAUCGGAAUCUACUUUUUCGUGGGGGGUAACGUAGGGUAACUUACGCUAAUACCGCAUACGACCUACGGGUGAAAGCAGGGGAUCUUCGGACCUUGCGCGAUUGAAUGAGCCGAUGUCGGAUUAGCUAGUUGGCGGGGUAAAGGCCCACCAAGGCGACGAUCCGUAGCUGGUCUGAGAGGAUGUUCAGCCACACUGGAACUGAGACACGGUCCAGACUCCUACGGGAGGCAGCAGUGGGGAAUAUUGGACAAUGGGCGCAAGCCUGAUCCAGCCAUACCGCGUGGGCGAAGAAGGCCUUCGGGUUGUAAAGCCCUUUUGUUGGGAAAGAAAAGCAGCAGGUUAAUACCCCGCUGUUCUGACGGUACCCAAAGAAUAAGCACCGGCUAACUUCGUG
rnacentral:rRNA from 1 species